UCUUAUAAAAGAGAGGAGGCAGAAACGGGGAGGCAGGAAAGAGGGGGAAGGAAGGAAAGAAAGAAAGAAAGAAAGAAAGAAAGAAAGAAAGAGUGAGCAGAAGGGGAGAAAAUGGUCAGGCGGCUGGAACCGGGAUGGGCUCCGCAUGGGGAGAGGGGCUGGAAGGUGCCGGACGGUGUUGUGUAGUGGUUAGAGCUGGGUUAGGACCAGGGAGACCUCAGGUUCAAAUUCCACCCUAAACAGUUACAGUUCCAUAAAACAUUAACUGAACCACUUUGAGCUGGUUGUGCUCUAUCCCCUGUUCCCUUGUUCUCUUUCUUUCUUUCUUUCUUUCUUUCUUUCUUUCUUUCUUUCUCUCUUUCUCUCUUUCUUUCUCUCCUUCUCUUUCUCUCAU